UCAGCAUAUCCCUCUUCCUGAUGUCGUAUUCCUUAUUCAUUGGCUCCUGGCAUAAUCUUGGCACUAAUCCUGCUAAUUCUAUUGAGGAGUACUCAGAUGACCUACGUGCCUGCAUUUGCAUGAAUCCGGUGGAUACACCCGUGUCGAACGGCUCGGCGGCCCUAAAUCAUACUGGGAGUGGGGUGGCAGCCACUCCUCAACCCUCAUCUGAAGACCGCUUGUUCUAAAGCUCCGGUAUGACGUUCAACAUGGCAGAGUGAGAUCUCCCCAGGGGGCCCAUAGCAUGGUAAUGGAAGGCGCAUAAACACUACAGAAAGGGGCAUAAACACCGACUGGGUAACACCCGCACCCACUCACCUAAACGGUGAGGCAAAUUUGGAUCUCCCAGAUGGAGGAUCUCCGACAAGCAAGGCAGGCAGCAGGGGGCAGUUGGAUCACAAACACGAUCCUCCACUGUUGGAUGUGGCUGGAUGCCGAAGAACCUUGUGUGGAAUAGCCUUGGAGUGUGGGCCUGACAGAACGCUAGAGCCCGAUCUCACUGCGAGGGCAUCGGGUGAAUGGACUGCAGACUCUCACUAGUGCAAGGCUGCUGACCCCACAGCUGCUCUCCUAACAAAUAUAACCGUUAUGCCUAUAAUGCAACACCCUAUUGACCUGCUUAGAUUGACCAGCAAUGGUUUAUGCUUAAAUAUCCAGUGGUACUACACUCUCCUAUUAGUUACAUCUACUGUCAGUCAGUGCUUUCACACUUAAUAUUGUGUAGCAAACACCAUGUCUAGAAUGUCUUCUAUGCUUGCAUAUUUAGCUUUGGUUAUGUCCAUAGACAUGCUCACCUAUCUUGAUCUCAACAUUAUAAUCUUGCAUACUUUUCACCAUAUCAAUUAACCUGUUAGGAAUUCCUCAUACCCUGACAUGUUUAUCUUGCAUAUAUCUAUUCAUUAUACUUAACAAAAUAUUGGCAUAUUGUAACUUUAAGUCUGUACUCACUUGUUUUUGUAAUCUACAACAUAUGUCAGUCAUUUUGUGCCUGUUCCUCUGCACUUACAAAAUAAAGAAUUUUUAAAAAAAUGGGUUCUAUGGAUGAUUCCAUUAGAUUGCAGGAUUUUUCAUAGAUAACCUAGUGUUUGAACAAGAGUGGCAAUUACAUGAGAAAAAGUAGUUUGUCUCAUCUCUUGAUUGUAUUGGAAUUUCAAAGGAAAUUACAAACAGAGCACAAGAAAGGCUCCAUAUUGCUGGUUUAUGGGAGCAUCUGAACAUUUAUAGGGAUUACUGAUGUAAUAUAGAAAAAUGUGUCUCCUGGCCACAAAGAUAUACAGGCAUAACCUUGCAGGGGUUUAUUUAAUAAACAGUAAAUUGCAAACCAAGUUGGAAAACAAACUGAUUUUGAAAAUCCUCCAAGAAUGCUAGAAGGACAGCUACUAUAUUUUACUAUUUUAAUUUGACUAUACGAUUUCCAACGCACAACAAUUGGCAGUUUAUUAAAGGAUCACUAUAGGGUCAGGAACA